rnacentral:lncRNA from 1 species
ACACCAGUCUACACAUUAUUGUGCAGAGGGAAGAAACUGCAUAAAAUAGUCUAUUUAACAACCGAGAAAACAGGUAAACUUGACAGGCUUUGGAAGCAGACUAACUAUAGUUAGGCACUGGCAAAUGUAAGAAACAUAAUGUAAUCAUGUAUUCGUGCUUUUAUUGAACACAAAAUUAAUUUGAGAAAUGUUGAGGCUUGCAGCCUCUUUACAUAGCAUGCUGACCCUAACAGUAGACUGCCAAAGAAAACAAGGUGACAAAUAUUUCUGCUUGUUGAGCAAGAAAAGGAUCAAACAAAGGUCUGCAAGCAUCUAGUAAUUUGCUUUAAGAUAAGGAUAGUAACAUGUUUAGAGAAGAACGAAAACAGUGUUAUAAACUAGAGCUAUAAGUUUAUAUUCUAUUUUUAGAUGCUUAGCAAAAACUGUAUAAGUAAUGCAAGAGCAAAAAAUAAAGGUCUCAGUUCCACAUCAUAUUGGUGUACUGUCUGAUUCCUGCCUUAAGAUUGGACUUAGCAUCUGGGGACCCUGACGUGAUGAGCUUUGAUCCCGGGUGUGAAGAGUCUGGCUGAAAAGAAGUCUAAAGCUGAAAAGAAGAAGAAUCCUAUGGCAGUUGCGACCGGGCGUCCGAGAGAGAUGCGUGUGGCCACAAAACUCGACCGUAUGGAACUGUGACUCGAAUCACGCCAGAAGAAAAGAGAGAAAUAAGAGGACGGCAGCAGCAGAGAGCAGCAGCAGAGUGGGCAGUUCAACCCCCUCUCCCUCUCUAAGAAAAAGCACCGAGAUAAUACCCAGUUUGUUACAGAGUCAUGAUUUAUAGGGUUUUCAAUAUGUUUUUAUAUACCCUUUUAGAGUUAAUUUUGUGUUUUAAGUAAUUAUGAGCUUAUGCAGUUGCAACUUUUAGAGUUUUACUAGAGAAGUUAUUGUGAUUCUUUGAAAGUUAAAAAAAAAAAAAAAAGAGAAAAAGUGUUUAACAGAAGUUACCUUGCAAUAAUUAGUUUUAAAACCUAAAGUUAAAAUAUAGUGUGAUUUACAGCUCUAACAAAACCUUCCAAUUAAUGUUAUCUACAGAAGAGAUUUGUGGUUUAAAAAAUAAUUAGUUAAGAGAACUUUACUGUACAAGACAAAGUUAAGUUAGAGUAUAUAUUAUCUAUCUGCUUGUUUUUUCCACAAUUUUAAUAAAGAAAGUUCAAUGUGAGUCCUUUUGUUAUAU